rnacentral:rRNA from 1 species
GAUGAACGCUGGCGGCGUGCCUAAUACAUGCAAGUCGAGCGAACGGACGAGAAGCUCUCUUCUCUGCUGGUAGCGACGGACGGGUGAGUGACACAUGGAUCACCUUCCUAUGAUACUGGGAUGACAGCGGGGAACCGGAGCUCAUACCGGAUAAUAUUUUGAACGGCAUGGUUCAGAGGUUAAAGACGCUCUGGCUGUGCCUUAUAGCUGCAUCCGGGCUGCAUAAGCUAGUUGGUAAGGUAACGGCUAACCAAGGCGACGAUGCGUAGCUGACCUGAGAGGGUGAUCCGCCACACUGGAACUGAGACACGGUCCAGACUCCUACGGGAGGCAGCAGUAGGGAAUCUUCGUCAAUGGGCGAAAUCCUGAUGCAGCAACGCCGCGUGGGUGAUGAAGGUCUUCGGAUCGUAAACCCCUUUUAUUAGGGAAGAACAUAUGCGUAUGUAACUGCGCACAUCUUGACGGUACCCAAUCAGAAAGCCCCGGCUAACUACGUG